rnacentral:rRNA from 1 species
AACGAACGCUGGCGGCAUGCCUAACACAUGCAAGUCGAACGAGACCUUCGGGUCUAGUGGCGCACGGGUGCGUAACGCGUGGGAACCUGCCCUUAGGUUCGGAAUAACUCCCCGAAAGGGGUGCUAAUACCGGAUAAUGUCUUCGGACCAAAGAUUUAUCGCCUUUGGAUGGGCCCGCGUUGGAUUAGCUAGUUGGUAGGGUAAAAGCCUACCAAGGCGACGAUCCAUAGCUGGUCUGAGAGGAUGAUCAGCCACACUGGGACGGAGACACGGCCCAGACGCCAACGGGAGGCAGCAGUGGGGAAUGUUGCAGUAUGGGCGGACGCCGGAUGCAGCAACGCCGCGUGCGGGAUGAAGGCAUUCGGGUUGUAAACAGCUUGCGCAGGUGACGACGGGUGGGGGACGGUAAUGGGUAAAGAAGCGCGGGCUAAGUACGUG